CGCCCCGGCGCGGCCGGAUGUCCCUUGCGGCGGGACGGAGCGCGGCAGCGGCCGCGUGGUGCGGGCCGGGCCCGGGGCAGCUCUAGAAUUACUCUGAGGCCCGGCAAGCCCCCGAUCCCUCCGGCAGUGGAGCUUUUGCCGCUUGUGGGAUCGAGUCCUGGUGCCAGCCUUGGAGGCAGCUUGAGGAGAGGGGUCCCGCUUGGCAUCUGCCCCUUUGCCAGGUCUCCAGUUAAACCCAGGACAUUCCAGCCAGCCCAGAGCUGUGAUCCAGGCACCUGAUCCUGUCUGGGGCUGGGGUUGGAUCCAGCUGCUCCCAGGCUCCUCUCAGGCUUCUGGAAAGGCAUCCCUCCUGCACCCUGUGACACAACAGAAGGGGCUUCCCUCUAAA